rnacentral:rRNA from 1 species
UACGUAGGGUCCGAGCGUUGUCCGGAAUUAUUGGGCGUAAAGGGCUCGUAGGCGGUUAGUCGCGUCGGGAGUGAAGAACUCGAGGGCUCCAACCCUGAGCGUGUCCUUCCGAUGACGGGCUGACUAGAGGUAUGCAGGGGAGAACGGAAUUCCUGGUGUAGCGGUGGAAUGCGCAGAUAUCAGGAGGAACACCGGUGGCGAAGGCGGUCUCUGGGCAUUACCUGACGCUGAGGAGCGAAAGCAUGGGGAGCGAACAGG